GUAUGAGGCGCCCUCAGGUUCUGCUCACUAGGAACCCACUAACGUAAAAACACCCACUGCGACGCUUAGAUCAUUUAUGCUUGCCUUGGAUCAAGACAAAUAUAGCAUUGGGCACAUCUCAGCUGCUCAUUAACACAACCCCCCCACCCACCCACACACACACAAUAUUCCUCCUCCUUUAACGCAGUGUAUUACAUCCAUCUCCUUGUUGAGGAACCGGGGGGGGGGGGGGUUAAGAUGCCACAGAGCCCCCUUGGCUCCCCUACUUCACACUGUCAGACCACAGCCAAUAAGCAGCUUCAGAAGAUCAAGUAUCACUAUAACACAAGGACUUAUCCGUUGAGGGGAGUUUGCGGAGCCCUCAUAGCCCAUCUCUGCAUCAUCCGAGAGUCGCUAUCAGUUCCUUCAACUCUUCUGAGGACAGGAGAAAGGGAUUUGGGAGCUAUGUGGACAGAGAAGGUCUCAGCUGAGGCUGAGAAAUACGAUCCUGAUGGGAUAAGCCAGGGGGGCCAUCUGCAGCUGCAACACUAAGUGUGAAAGAUUCCUCUCAAGACACUUUAUACAUCCAGAGGAUUACAAAUGAAGGUUCUUCCUAAAAAUAAACGCACUCUAAAAAAAAACAGAAGAAAAGGUCCUUGGAAGAUGUGUAAGAUCUUUUGUAGGAGCCAUUUUUUGAGGUUGCCAUGCCGUUUUAUUGUGAAGCACCCUGAGAGGAUCCUCCACAAUCCUUCUGCUUGAAGAGACUGUCUGACCUAUGCAGAUUAGGGCCAGUCUCCAGACUAUAAUCUGUGUCCACAGUUUCGGCCCUUGGAGUGGAGGCUAAGAUGAAGGAGCUGUUACCUAUGGGCGGUCUUGGGAGCUUUCUGGAGCCCCUGUGCAUACAUUUUUAUGUUUUUGCUUUUAUUUGGGCUGGAUAUUUCUAAAGCCAAUUCAUGACAAUGGCUGAUUUUAAAUGGGAUUUGUAAAAAAAUAAUAAUAAUAAUAUCAGAUGGUUGAAUGAUUGGUCUAGCAGUCUAAAGCACUUAAGCCUGAAGUGGACAUGGGUUUGUUCUAGCCUGCUGUCCUAGUACUCCCCCUACCCUUCCUGUAUUUUCCAACUUCC
rnacentral:lncRNA from 1 species